GACUGUAGCAACUUCGUGUUACGAAAUCUAUCCAGAAGAUGGGAAAGACAGAGAUGGUGUAUUGAUUCUUGUGUGCGUUCGCUCGUCGUCGUCGUCCUCGUCGCUGGUUGGUGUAUAAAUAGAGACGCGUUGACGCUCGACGAUGAUGAUUCAGGAUGAUCACCUUAUACCGUUCGAUCAACCAAUGGCAAUACCGGAAAAAAACAAGACUACUUAUGUACGUUUAUCGUAGACAAACAGGCGCUUUUAUCGUAGAUAAUACGAGUGGAUAGGGAUUCUAUUAUUACCGUUUUCUUCGCUUAUCCUCGUCGUUUCUGUUUAGGUUUACUGCGGAUGAAGAAGAGGAUGGUGGGAUGCUGCAAAGGCCAGGUUUCGGUGCGCUCACACAAUCAGCUGAUCUGUGUGAUGAUGCGUUUAUGCUUUACUACAACGGAGAGAACCGGUUCUUGCGCGCGUUUCGUUUUCUUCUUUGUCGUUGCUGUUGUUGUUGUUGUUGGCUGCAGCAGCAGUAGAAGACGAAAGAAAGAAAGAAAGAAUACGUCCCGAAAGGAUAUAUCUUUCUUUUCCAUCCGUGCGCGCAUCCCUCGCGGAUGGUCAUAUAAAUCUCUUCGCCUCAUCGAGGAGACAGAAGAAAGCAGAUCUCUUCUCUUCUCUCCUCUUCCUUCUCCUCCCGUGAAAACGUUUCUAAUUUGUUCCCAAAAACCAAAAACAGAACUGAACAAAUGAAACAAAAAA